rnacentral:rRNA from 1 species
GGGGGGCAAGCGUUGUUCGGAAUUACUGGGCGUAAAGGGCUCGUAGGUGGCCAACUAAGUCGGACGUGAAAUCCCUCGGCUUAACCGGGGAACUGCGUCCGAUACUGGAUGGCUUGAGUUUGGGAGAGGGAUGCGGAAUUCCAGGUGUAGCGGUGAAAUGCGUAGAUAUCAGGAGGAACACCAAUGGCGAAGGCAGCACUCUGGGACGUGACUGACGCUGAGACGCGAAAGCGUGGGGAGCAAACAGG